AAUGAACGCUGGCGGUAUGCUUAACACAUGCAAGUCGAACGGUGAACCUAGCUUGCUAGGGGAUCAGUGGCAAACGGGUGAGUAACACGUGGGAAUCUACCCGAUAGUACGGAAUAGCCGUUGGAAACGACGAUUAAUACCGUAUAUUCUCUACGGAGGAAAGAUUCAUCGCUAUCGGAUGAGCCUGCGGCGGAUUAGCUUGUUGGUGGGGUAAUGGCCUACCAAGGCGACGAUCUGUAGCUGUUCUGAGAGGAAGAUCAGCCACACUGGGACUGAGACACGGCCCAG
rnacentral:rRNA from 1 species